CAGAGAGGUACUGGAUCUGGCCGAAUGGGUUCUGGAACAAAACAGUCCAAAACGGAGAGGUGCCGGAUCCUGUUCUGGCAAGAUCCUGCUCAAAUUAAGCACUGGUGGUAGGCUAUGUAUUGUACAAGGAUACAAUCAUUUUUAUUCCUUUUUUUUUUUUUAACACUUGGGCUCGUAAGUCUAUGCAUAUAGAAUCCUUAAUAUGCAUAUGGGUGUUUUGAAUUAAUCAUCACCUUGACAGCUGUCUAUUUCGUUGUGCUAGGUUUGGAAAUUUUAACAAUUACCGUGUUUUACUCUGUUUCAACCUUCUAAUCAUCACAGUGAGGGGAGUUUUAAAAGCAUGAUACUGUUUUGAUGAUAAGUGUUUGAUGUGAUUUUAGAUUGUAUUUGCAUUGAUGUCCGAGUGGUUAGAGGAACAAUAAAGCCCUGAGUACCAGGCCAUAGGACCUGAUUGGUCAUUAGCAAAUGACAUACUACCAAAGCAUGUCCAGAGUGCAUAACAGGGGAUUACAUGGUCACAUGGAAUUUUACUGCGGACAUGACUUAUGAUUGACAGACUGAUGGUCUUUCUGCAAUCUGGUGCAGUAAUGCUUAUUUCUGGACACAGUCCCUCCUUUAACUCUAUCUUGCUUCACUCCUCUUCUCACUCUCUCUAAUUUUUCUCCUUUUACUUUGUCCAAUUUCCAUCCUGUUAUCCUCUUGCACCCAUCUGUCCUUUCCUUUCCCUCUCCUCUCCUUUCUCAGUUGUACUUGCUCAACUUCUGCAUCCUCUCUCCUCCGUCCUCUCUCGCCCUUGAUUCGAAAAAGGUCAAAGGAAAUCCAGGAGAGGCGGCCAGUAGAAGGAAUGUGGACGGAAAUGUGCUUGUAUGAAAUGACACUCCACUCCACUUGCACAAAUUACAUGUACGUGGUGAAAUAACAAAAUAAAUGUCAUAAAACAAAUGUAGCUAGUUGUUGAAGACAUUUUAUAGAUAAAAGAAUAAGUAGCAUAUCGUUUGCAUGAUUUUCUCCUUCGAGAACACAAUUCUUCAAAGGACUCAGAUAGGAUACACAUGACUAUCCUCGAUGAAAGGUGGCUAUCGAAGAGGGGAGGACACUCUUCCAACUAAAAAAUGUACAUUCUCCUCCACCACUUAUCGGUUUCUGGGUCAAGGAGGAGAGAGGAUGAAGGACGGACUUUUGGCCAAAUGAAAAAAGGCCCUAAUGUUAGACAUCUGAUGAUCCAAAAAGGCAAGAGGCCUGUAUAUUGCAGAGAUAAUUCUUAGUAAACUAUACAGGCCUACAAACAUUUAGAGGCAAGAGCAGAUCAUAACAUUAGGUUGCAGCAGACCGCAUAACAUUAGGUUGCAUCAGAUCAGCAUAACAUUUAGGUUGCAUCAGUUCAGCAUAACAUUAGGUUGCAGCAGAUCAUAACAUUAGGUUGCAUCAGACAGCAUAACAUUUAGGUUGCAUCAGUUGAGCAUAACAUUAGGUUGCAGCAGAUCAUAACAUUAGGUUGCAUCAGAUCAGCAUAACAUUAGGUUGCAUCCGUUCAGCAUAACAUUUAGGUUGCAUCAGAUCAGAAUAACAUUAGGUUGCAUCAAUUCAGCAUAACAUUAGGUUGCAGCAGAUCAUAACAUUAGGUUGCAGCAGAUCAUAAUAUUAGGUUGCAGGAGAUCAUAACAUUAGGUUGCAGGAGACAGCAUACCAUUAGGUUGUAGCAGAACAACAUAACAUUAGGUUGCAUCAGUUCAGCAUAACAUUAGGUUGCAGCAGACAGCAUAACAUUAGGUUGCAGCAGAUCAUAACAUUAGGUUGCAUCAGACAACAUAACAUUAAGUUGCAGCAGCCAGCAUAACAUUAGGUUGCAGCAGGGAGCAUAACAUUAGGUUGCAGCAGACAGCAUAACAUUAGGUUGCAGCAGACAACAUAACAUUAGGUUGCAGCAGCCAGCAUAACAUUAGGUUGCAGGAGACUACAUAACAUUAGGUUGCAUCAGAAAGCAUAACAUUAGGUUGCAUCAGUUCAGCAUAACAUUAGGUUGCAGGAGAACAACAUAACAUUAGGUUGCAGCAGACAGCAUAACAUUAGGUUGCAUCAGUUCAGCAUAACAUUAGGUUGCAACAGACUGCAUAACAUUAGGUUGCAGCAGACAGCAUAACAUUAGGUUGCAGCAGAUCAUAACAUUAGGUUGCAGCAGAACAACAUAACAUUAGGUUGCAGCAGACAGCAUAACAUUAGGUUGCAUCAAAACAGCAUAACAUUAGGUUGGAGCAGACAGCAUAACAUUAGGUUGGAGCAGAUAGCAUAACAUUAGGUUGCAGCAGAUCAUAACAUUAGGUUGCAUCAGUUCAGCAUAACAUUAGGUUGCAGCAGACCGCAUAACAUUAGGUUGCAGCAGACCGCAUAACAUUAGGUUGCAUCAGACAGCAUAACAUUUAGGUUGCAUCAGUUCAGCAUAACAUUAGGUUGCAUCAGACAGCAUAACAUUAGGUUGCAUCAGAUCAUAACAUUAGGUUGCAUCAGAUCAUAACAUUAGGUUGCAUCAGACAGCAUAACAUUAGGUUGCAUCAGACAGCAUAACAUUAGGUUGCAUCAGACAGCAUAACAUUUAGGUUGCAUCCGUUCAGCAUAACAUUAGGUUGCAUCAGUUCAGCAUAACAUUAGGUUGCAUCAGUUCAGCAUAACAUUAGGUUGCAUCAGACAGCAUAACAUUAGGUUGCAUCAGUUCAGCAUAACAUUUAGGUUGCAUCAGAACAGCAUAACAUUAGGUUGCAUCAGACAGCAUAACAUUAGGUUGCAUCAGAUCAUAACAUUAGGUUGCAUCAGACAGCAUAACAUUAGGUUGCAUCAGAUCAUAACAUUAGGUUGCAUCAGUUUCAGCAUAACAUUUAGGUUGCAUCAGACAACAUAACAUUAGGUUGCAUCAGACAGCAUAACUUUAGGUUGCAUUAGAUCAGCAUAACAUUAGGUUGCAUCAGAUCAGCAUAACAUUAGGUUGCAUCAGAAAGCAUAACAUUAGGUUGCAGGAGAUAGCAUAACAUUAGGUUGCAUCAGUUCAGCAUAACAUUAGAUUGCAUCAGAAAGCAUAACAUUAGGUUGCAUCAGAUCAGCAUAACAUUAGGUUGCAUCAGAUCAGCAUAACAUUAGGUUGCAUCAGAUCAGCAUAACAUUAGGUUGCAUCAGAAAGCAUAACAUUAGGUUGCAGCAAGACUCAUAUGUCUGAUGAUGAAAGGGAAAUCCCAGUCUAGUUUCAUAAAAAUUAUGGUUAAUGCUGUCUCUUUUUCUCUCUUUCCCCCUCUCUUUCUCUCUCUCCCCCUCUCUCUCCCUCUCUCUCUCUCUCUCUCUCUCCUUCUCUCUCUCCCCCUCUCUCUCACUUUCACUCUCUCUCCCUCUCUCUCCCCCUCUCUCGUUUUGUGAUUAUAAAACAUUGUUUAGAAGAAGGCGAAGUUAUUUAACAAGGUUAGUAGGUGACUCAGCCGUGACACUUAUUCUAAUGAGAAAAUCAUUUAAAAUAAGAGAUAUCCCUCAAUACGAGACUGACAAUAUAUCUCAUUCUAUUUAGGCUUUUUCCCUCAAAACCAGAGUGACAAUAUAUCUCAUUCUAUUUAGGCUUUUUCCCUCAAAACCAGAGUGACAAUAUAUCUCAUUCUAUUUAGGCUUUUUCCCUCAAAACCAGAGUGACAAUAUAUCUCAUUCUAUUUAGGCUUUUUCCCUCAAAACCAGAGUGACAAUAUAUCUCAUUCUAUUUAGGCUUUUUCCCUCAAUACCUGAGUGACAAUAUAUAUCAUUCUAUUUACGCUUAAUCCCUCAAAACCAGAGUGACUGUAAGGGUCCUGUGUGUAGCUGGUGUAGAGAGUCAGGCGCAGGACAGCAGAUAUCAGUAGAACAACACCAGGUCUGUAAGGUCCUGUGUGUAGCUGGUGUAGAGAGUCAGGCGCAGGACAGCAGAUAUGAGUAGAACAACACCAGGUCUGUAAGGGUCCUGUGUGUAGCUGGUGUAGAGAGUCAGGUGCAGGACAGCAGAUAUGAGUAGAACAACACCAGGUCUGUAAGGGUCCUGUGUGUAGCUGGUGUAGAGAGUCAGGCGCAGGACAGCAGAUAUGAGUAGAACAACACCAGGUCUGUAAGGGUCCUGUGUGUAGCUGGUGUAGAGAGUCAGGCUCAGGACAGCAGAUAUGAGUAGAACAACACCAGGUCUGUAAGGGUCCUGUGUGUAGCUGGUGUAGAGAGUCAGGUGCAGGACAGCAGAUAUGAGUAGAACAACACCAGGUCUGUAAGGUCCUGUGUGUAGCUGGUGUAGAGAGUCAGGUGCAGGACAGCAGAUAUGAGUAGAACAACACCAGGUCUGUAAGGGUCCUGUGUGUAGCUGGUGUAGAGAGUCAGGUGCAGGACAGCAGAUAUGAGUAGAACAACACCA
rnacentral:lncRNA from 1 species